AAAGUACUCCCUCCGUCCGGAAAUACUUGUUUGAGAAAUGCAUAAAAAUGAAUGUAUGUAGAACUAAAAUACAUCUAGAUACAUUCAUUUUUUUCGACAAGUAUUUCUGGACGGAAGGAGUAGUAC
rfam:Triticum urartu cultivar G1812 contig1001912, whole genome shotgun sequence.